rnacentral:rRNA from 1 species
AUGGGAGGAAGAAACCAUCGUUGGUCGGCUGGGGGUCAGCAGGCCCAGAUGCGCGCAUUGUCUCCUUCUGCACCAGGGCAAACAAUUGCUAUUAGGAAGGUUCUUCGGGAUAAGCAGUACAAGAACCGCGAGCUUAAUGUCGUAGCUCUGAAGCAUUGUUUCUUUUCUACAACUGAGAAGGAUGAAAUUUUGCUGAACUUGGUCUCGAGUGGUGAUCGAUGGCUCAUGGCUCUCCCUAGUGGUUUGGUAGCGGGACGGAAUAGGGCGGUGGAGGUGAGGCAGCAGAGAGCGGGUGCUGGCCAUGCUCGCCAGGCCAUCCGCGAUGCAUCGAAUAUGUUAGCAGUAUCUUGCGGAAGAAGAAGAGGACGACAAUGGCUUACAGAUGAAGAUGACAGUGCCAACUUGCAGUGUAACAGGCUCACAAUGCCGCCAUGGAUACUCUCCCGCACUAGCUAUUCAGUCUCGCCAUGA